rnacentral:tRNA from 1 species
GGGGAUUUAGCUCAGCAGCAUAGCGCCUGCCUGGCAUGCAUGAGGUCCUGAGUUCAAUCCCCAGUAACCACCA